GAUGAACGCUGGCGGCGUGCUUAACACAUGCAAGUCGAACGGAAAGGCUCCUGCUUGCAGGGGUACUCGAGUGGCGAACGGGUGAGUAACACGUGGGUGAUCUGCCCUGCACUUCGGGAUAAGCCUGGGAAACUGGGUCUAAUACCGGAUAGGACGAUGGUUUGGAUGCCAUUGUGGAAAGUUUUUCGGUGUGGGAUGAGCUCGCGGCCUAUCAGCUUGUUGGUGGGGUAAUGGCCUACCAAGGCGUCGACGGGUAGCCGGCCUGAGAGGGUGUACGGCCACAUUGGGACUGAGAUACGGCCCAGACUCCUACGGGAGGCAGCAGUGGGGAAUAUUGCACAAUGGGCGCAAGCCUGAUGCAGCGACGCCGCGUGGGGGAUGACGGCCUUCGGGUUGUAAACUCCUUUCGCUAGGGACGAAGCGUCAGUGACGGUACCUGGAGAAGAAGCACCGGCUAACUACGUGCCAGCAGCCGCGGUAAUACGUAGGGUGCGAGCGUUGUCCGGAAUUACUGGGCGUAAAGAGCUCGUAGGUGGUUUGUCGCGUCGUUUGUGUAAGCCCGCAGCUUAACUGCGGGACUGCAGGCGAUACGGGCAUAACUUGAGUGCUGUAGGGGAGACUGGAAUUCCUGGUGUAGCGGUGGAAUGCGCAGAUAUCAGGAGGAACACCGAUGGCGAAGGCAGGUCUCUGGGCAGUAACUGACGCUGAGGAGCGAAAGCAUGGGUAGCGAACA
rnacentral:rRNA from 1 species